UACAGAGGGGGCAAGCGUUAUUCGGAAUUAUUGGGCGUAAAGGGCGCGUAGGCGGCCUGGCAAGUGACGGGUGAAAUCCCUCGGCUUAACCGAGGAACUGCCUGUCAGACUGCUGGGCUUGAGACCGGGAGAGGUGAGUGGAAUUCCUAGUGUAGCGGCGAAAUGCGUAGAGAUUAGGAAGAACACCAGUGGCGAAGGCGACUUACUGGACUGUAACUGACACUGAGGCAUGAAAGCGUGGGGAGCAAACAGG
rnacentral:rRNA from 1 species